GAAAGGAGAACAAUUCAUCACGUCAGAGAAAAGAUGCUCUCUCCAUGUCGUAAGUUACACAAGAAGGUAAGCACUAUCCAAAUGACUCUUGUUGUUUCAUUUACAAUUUAUUUACUCUUGCUAUUUGUUUUCUUUUUCUUUUUUUGAGAGGGACUCUCACUCUGUAGCCCAGGCUGGAGUGCAGUGGCGCAAUCUCGACUCACUGCAAACUCUGCCUCCAGGUUCAAGCAAUUCUCCUGCCUCAGCCUCUCAAGUAGCUGGAAUUACAGGUGUACACCACCAUGCCCAGCUAAUUUUUGUAUUUUUAGUGGAGACGAGGUUUCACCAUGUUGGCCAGGCUGGUCUCAAACUCCUGACCUCAGGUGAUCCACCUGCCUUGGCCUCCCAAAUUGCUGGGAUUGCAGCCGUGAGCCACCGUGCCCGGUCUACUCUUGCUAUUUAUUUUCUAUGUUGUUUAUUUACGUAGAAAUUUAAUAUUUCUAAUGUUUAAAUUACUAACGUUUAAAAACCUUAGAUAAUAUACAUUUAAUAGUUUAUUUUGAGCAAAGAACAAUUCAUGAAUUGGUAGUUCUCAGAAUCAAAAGAAAUUCAGAAUGCUUUGUUGCAGCAGCAUGGGCAGUGAGCUUUUACACAAAGGGAAGAUGAAAGUGUACUUCAUUGGAUUAGGUGGAAAGACCCUAGUUAGAGGUUAGCUGGUGUUUUCUUAUUGGUAGUCUUUAGUUUUGUUUUACUCUUUACACUGGGCUCCAGUCUGCUUACAUAUAGGAACCUAAAGUGGUAGGGUUGCCUCCGUCUUGUUAAAAGAAAAACUUCAGCUGAAUUAAAUUUAAAGGAGUUUAAUUGAGCAAUGAAUGAUUCACGAAUUGGGCAGUCCCCAGAAUCACAGCAGAUUCGGGGACUCCAGAGAAGGCUUGUGGUUAGAACAAAUUUAUAAACAAAAAAAGGGAAGUGAUGUACAGAAAUCAGCAGUGAGGUACAGAAACAGCUGGAUUGGUUACAGGCUGGCAUUUGCUUUAUUUGAACAUGGUUUCAACACUUAGCAGGCUAUGAGUGGCUGAAAUAUGGCUGCUGGGAUUGGCCAAAAAUGCAGCUAUUGUUACAGGUGCAUGCUUCUAAAUUAGGAUUUCAAUUUUGUAUGCCUAUUAAGCUAAGUUACAGUUUGUCCACAAGGACUCAAAUAUAGAAGCACGAAGUCCUUCUCAGGCCAUAUUUAGUUUGCUUUAACAGUCUAAUGCCCUCCCUGUUAGAAUUUUUGUUAAAAACAAUUAUUCUCUGCUUUUGGUCAGCCUCUUAUGAGAGACUGAACAAUACUUAGGCAUAGGCACCCCUCCCUGUCACCAUCACAGGUAAGUUGUCUUUGUCUCUGUGGAACUCACAAGUCAUGAUGUUAGGCUCAUUGAAGAAAGAUUCCCUUUGUUGUUCACAUCAUUAUUGUCACUCUGAUCAAGGUGAGAGCAUCUAAUGUACCACUGAUGGCUGAGAGCAUGCAUUUAAGACUCUUGACAGAAUACAGCAAACAGGGUGAUUACAAUGAUGACCAUCAGGAGGAUAAUACCAAGAGACUAGAGUAUGCUCCUUAGCCAAGGUCCUCAUGAAUCAAACCAGCUAAAAUUGAAUAAAUCAAGGAAUGAACCAGAGGGGGAUUCAACUUGUUUUAACCAGGUGGCCUGUUUGUUAAUUUCUUGUGAUUGAGUUUCUAAUACAAGAGGUAUUUAUCCAGGCACAACAGGAGGAAUAGGAUAAAAUGAGCAUAUUGCAUAGACUCUUCCUUGUUCAGCCAAUAGUCCAAUGCAAGUCUAUUAUCUAAAACUACUCAAGUAAGGGAAUUUAGAGAUUUUUGUUGGAUAGCUAUAGCCUUAGCUGUAGAACCCGCAAUAGUAACUAAUGUCAAAGAAAAAUUUUUGACCUUUAUUUCAUUUGUAGUCAUCCCAAGCCAUGGAAAAAUGGACCUAACAUAUGAUGCCCCCUUGGCAGGGUUGUCAUCUGCUGGUCAGUUUCUUUUUAAUCUAUGAUGCAGGUUUAGAGGGGUGUACUGAUGUUUAGCUUCUGACUGGUUAUGUAGUGACAAUGGCACCAUUAAAAUCCCUAGUCCCCAUUGGUCUUUCAUUCUCCAUCUGUCAAGGUAUGGGGUGGUCCAAGCAUAUGGCUGACAGUUAAAUUCUCUGCUUAUAAAGAUGUACCUAGGACAUUCCUGAAAGCCUGGUUGUGGGGUGGCGGAGGGCAGUGGUAGGAAGGAUGUACCUAGGGUGAACAAGCCUCCUCCUUGGGAGACUUCAGUUAUGGAGUAAUUAGUUGGCAUCAGCAGUUUCUAACCAAGAGACUGAUACUGAGUUAUUACGUCCUAGAAGGCUACCAAAAUACGUAUGUAGAUAGGCAUUCUUGUAAAUAGCUCUGUUAAUGUUCUCCUUUUUUGUGCAUAGCCUCCUUGCAAUAUGGUCAGCAGACCUGGCCAUCCUAUUCUAUGGUUGGGUUAAACAAGAAGUAAGAAUAAAGGGGUCUAGAAGUUUAACUCUAUAAAGGGACCAACAGUAUAAUCUAAACAGAUUGUUGCAUUUGAGAUUCUGGCAAAUUGAGUCACAAGAUAUACUAAUGGGUCUCUAAAAAGCCAUGCAAGUAUUUUGACUUAGCAUGGAAAAUCCAGAAUUUAGCUAAAUUUUCUGCAGAAGCUAUAGACUGUGAGAUUCUAAUUAUGGCAUUAUCGUGCCAUACACAGAAAGGAAGAGUAAGAAACAGGAGAUGAAAAGAACAGGGGUUCCAUGAUAGGAAGAGGAGGUACUUUUUUUUUUUUUUUUUUGAGAUGGAGUCUUGCUCUGUCACCCAGGCUGGAUUGCAGUGAGCUGAGGUCGCGGCACUGCACUCCAGCCUGGGCAACAGAGCGAGACUCCGUCUA
rnacentral:lncRNA from 1 species